AAAGUCGUAACAAGGUUUCCGUAGGUGAACCUGCGGAAGGAUCAUUAACACGUAUCCACGUAUUAAAUCAUUUAUCAACAACCAAAGAAUCGCGCUCCCUGGCUAGUCGACCCGCAGCUGAACGAGUUGGAUUGUAGUGGGUCACGCUUGCGUGACACAUCCAGCUUGGACUAUCGCUCCUCGAGAGUGUGGCUGUAUACUGACUAACAGGCUUACUAACACUUACUUCGUUCCAACCACUUUGGGGCGUCGCGAGGAGUCCAUACCAAUUUCACCCUAUUUUACCUAUUUGACUAAUUAUUUACAUUCCUCGGGAGAAAUCCUGUUUGGAAUUCUAAGAUUUAUCUUAACUAAGCACAACUCUUAGCAAUGGAUAUCUUGGUUCUC
rnacentral:misc_RNA from 1 species